rnacentral:rRNA from 1 species
AUCCUCCAAGGCUAAAUACUCCUGACUGACCGAUAGUGAACCAGUACCGUGAGGGAAAGGCGAAAAGAACCCCGGCGAGGGGAGUGAAAAAGAACCUGAAACCGUGUACGUACAAGCAGUGGGAGCCCCACCACCAAAGCAUUCUCUGGUGUUGAAGGCCCUGCAAAGCAGCAUCGCGGUGGCGGAGCGUCGUUUGCGACGCCCAACACACAAAACAAGCGGUGAGUGCUUUGGGGUGGGGUGACUGCGUACCUUUUGUAUAAUGGGUCAGCGACUUAUAUUCUGUAGCAAGGUUAACCGUAUAGGGGAGCCGGAGGGAAACCGAGUCUUAAUUGGGCGUUAAGUUGCAGGGUAUAGACCCGA